UCGAAGUUUGACGGUGAUGGUUCUCCUUGGGCGCACUUCAGCCCGUGAGGUACAAGUCCAUAAGCCGACAAUAGAUACAAGGGAGUGAAAUUUGACCCGUAUCAAACUUCCCACAUUUGUUAGCAUUAAGCAGACGACAAAACAUGAAUGAAGAGCAUCACCCUCCGAGUGGGGUGUUAGUAGGACCAAGUGUGUCUUUGCCUGUACAGUCGGUGCACACAGCUCCUUCUCUGGGUAGCAGUGUAAUAGUUCAAAAUGCUAGUGUAGCCUCCCAAUUAACAUUAACAGUAGCAGUUACACAUUGAUAAUUUCGACAUACAUCCGAAGAGAAAACAAGUAUGGAAUAAAUUGAAUCAAUGAUCAAGAAUAAAAAAAGCAAAGUUAGAAUAUAUAAGAACUGCUGAAUCAUUUCAUAGUUCUUAGGAAAUACAGAAUAGAAAUACUACAUAAUAAAGAAUUGAAAGAAUAAAAAUGUUAAAGUUUAACUGAAAAGGGAGAGGCCAAUUUUAUAAAUUAGACCAUAUGUUUGACUGUAUGAAAAAAAAACCAUCACAUGACUACAGUAUCACAUUUUAAGAUCUAUUAUACACUAUAAAUAAUGCACAUAAUGUGAUAUAUCAACAGUAUUUAAGUUUGUUUUUUAUAAAAAAAAUUUCAAAAUUAUAAUUUUAAAGUGUAUACAACUGUAAAUUAAUAAUAAAAAUCCGGAUAUAAAAUAAAGAUAUUUUAUAUAAUGAUAAAUGUAUCAAGUGACUAUUAAUUUCUCAUUUCUCUUCUCUCAUGUAGCAUUUAGGAAAAUAUAUUUUAAAUAUGCGGUUGAACUUUUUCAAAGUCUUCCCUUUUUUCCUU